AGUAAAAGCGACUGGGGCAUGAGUCGAAUAGACUGAAAUCAACAAUGGAUUGGAUUUAAGUUUUCGGGAUAUAAAUCAAAAUUUUCUGUAAAUAAAAUGUUUAGGUCGUACAAAAUUAAGUAAAUAGUAUAUAAAAACAUGAUAUAAAAAAUGAGAUACCAAACAUGUAUUACACUCAGGAACCUUUUGACGUUUACUAAAUUACAUGGAGUCCAACAAAAUGGCAAUAACCGGUUGCUGCCCAGUAUCGUUCGGAAAUAUAGCAAAACAUCAAACCUUAACUUGCCACAAUCAGCCACCUUAUUGCAAAACGAUUCCCAAGGCACCGUCGUUUUACUUGGAACUGUUCAUUUUAGUAAACAAUCAGUGGAGGAUGUGUCUCAGAUAGUAAAAGGGCUUGAUCCAAAUGGAAUAAUGAUUGAGCUCUGCCGGCAAAGAGUAUCUCUUCUAGAAUUAGACGACAAAAAAUUCUUAGAAGACGCGAAAAACUUUGAUGCGAAGAAAAUAAGACAAGCAGUAAAGGGUCAAAAUUUCGUGUCUGGGAUGUUGCAUGCUAUGUUGUUGAAGACUUAUGCCGACAUUGCCAAAGAAUUAGGAGUCGCUCCUGGCGGGGAAUUCAGAAGAGCAUAUCAUGAGAUGAAAAAUAUACCUGGCUGCAAGUUAUUCCUUGGUGAUAGACCAAUACAAAUCACGAUUGCAAGGGCUUUUCAAUCGCUGAGUGUUAUAGAACUGGGUCAGGUCUUGUAUCACUUGACCAACGCCAAACCAAAACCAAUUGAUAAACAGCAAUUAGAAAAAUACAAAGACCGAGAUUUUGUGCACGCGCAAUUUGAAGAGAUUACUCGAGAUGUGCCAGCUUUUAAAAAAAUAUUUCACGUCUUUGUCGAUGAAAGGGACAAAUGUCUUGCGUAUUCGUUGCAAGAGUGCGUGCGUACUGUUGAAAAACCUCGCGUUUUAGCGGUAGUAGGGAUGGGACACGUUGACGGCAUUAUUAAAUAUUACGGAAAAAUGAAACAGGAAGAUAUCGUACCCUUAUUAUUUGAAUAAUCUUUGAGUCACAUCUUCCACGAGGUGAGAAAACUAUUGCUGUUUCUUUUUAUUGAUGCUUCAAUCAAAAGUACACGGCUGUGUAUAUGAAUGUACCUAUAAUUAUUGUCCACACAAAGGUUUAGGGUCCCUCCCACACCUGUGCAUAGGAUAAUUCUGAGGACUGGCUUAAAAUUCUCAUUUUAUUUCUUGAUAUUUUCACUUUUGUACCGAUUAAUAUUUGGUUAAAAUAAAUGUGUUGUUUUAAAUA